rnacentral:rRNA from 1 species
GAGGUACGAAUCGGGGCACGGCAAGUCAUGCAAGUCGAGCGGUAACAGGAGAAAGCUUGCUUUCUUGCUGACGAGCGGCGGACGGGUGAGUAAUGUAUGGGGAUCUGCCCGAUAGAGGGGGAUAACUACUGGAAACGGUGGCUAAUACCGCAUGACGUCUACGGACCAAAGCAGGGGCUCUUCGGACCUUGCGCUAUCGGAUGAACCCAUAUGGGAUUAGCUAGUAGGUGAGGUAAUGGCUCACCUAGGCAACGAUCUCUAGCUGGUCUGAGAGGAUGAUCAGCCACACUGGGACUGAGACACGGCCCAGACUCCUACGGGAGGCAGCAGUGGGGAAUAUUGCACAAUGGGCGCAAGCCUGAUGCAGCCAUGCCGCGUGUAUGAAGAAGGCCUUACGGGUUGUAAAAGUACUUUCAGCGGGGAGGAAGGUGAUAAGUUAAUACCUUUCUCAAUUGACGUUACCCGCAGAAGAAGCCCGGCUAACUCCCGUGCAGCAGCCGCCGGUAAUACGGAGGGUGCAAGCGUUAAUCGGAAUUACUGGGCCGUAAAGCCACGCGGCGGUCCAAUUAAGUCGAUGUGAAAGCCCCAGCUUAACUUGGGAAUUGCACUGAAACUGGUUGGGCUAAGUCUUGUAAGGGGGGUAAAUUCCAGGGUACGGGUG